UGGCUCAGAUUGAACGCUGGCGGCAGGCCUAACACAUGCAAGUCGAACGGUAGCACAGAGAGCUUGCUCUCGGGUGACGAGUGGCGGACGGGUGAGUAAUGUCUGGGAAACUGCCUGAUGGAGGGGGAUAACUACUGGAAACGGUAGCUAAUACCGCAUAACGUCGCAAGACCAAAGAGGGGGACCUUCGGGCCUCUUGCCAUCAGAUGUGCCCAGAUGGGAUUAGCUAGUAGGUGGGGUAACGGCUCACCUAGGCGACGAUCCCUAGCUGGUCUGAGAGGAUGACCAGCCACACUGGAACUGAGACACGGUCCAGACUCCUACGGGAGGCAGCAGUGGGGAAUAUUGCACAAUGGGCGCAAGCCUGAUGCAGCCAUGCCGCGUGUAUGAAGAAGGCCUUCGGGUUGU
rnacentral:rRNA from 1 species